rnacentral:rRNA from 1 species
AACGAACGCUGGCGGCGGGCCUAACACAUGCAAGUCGAACGCCCCGCAAGGGGAGUGGCAGACGGGUGAGUAACACGUGGGAACAUGCGCGUCGGUUCGGAAUAACCCAGGGAAACUUGCGCUAAUACCGGAGACGUCCGAGAGGAGCAAGAUCUAACGCCGAAGGAUUGGCCCGCGUCUGAUUAGCUUGUUGGUGAGGUAACGGCUCACCAAGGCGACGAUCAGUAGCUGUUCUGAGAGGAUGAGCAGCCACACUGGGACUGAGACACGGCCCAGACUCCUACGGGAGGCAGCAGUGGGGAAUAUUGGACAAUGGGCGCAAGCCUGAUCCAGCCAUGCCGCGUGAGUGAUGACGGCCCUAGGGUUGUAAAGCUCUUUUGCCUGGGAAGAUAAUGACGGUACCAGGAGAAUAAGCCCCGGCUAACUACGUGCCAGCCGCCGCAGUAA